ensembl:lncRNA
GAGCACGCUCUGCAGUGUGAUCGCACAGCUCACUGAGGAAACCCAGCCCUUCUUUGAAACAACCCUGAAGUCAAAAGCUGUGUCUGAGAAUAGCAAUGUGAAGUUCUCCUGUGUGAUUACAGGCUACCCAAUCCCUCAGGUCACCUGGUAUAAGGAUGACAUGCAGUUAGACAGAUACUGUGGAUUGCCCAAAUAUGAAAUAUUCCGCGAUGGACAAAACCAUUCCCUGCAGAUUUACAAGUAUGUAUGUUCAGAAGCAUUAGUGUAACAUCUGAUUGCAACUGUACAAAGAUCAGUCUCUCAAGACACAUAAAGAGGUUUUCCUUGCCAUCAGUGUUUACUUGAUUUUGUCAGUGAUCAGUUUGCUUGAUACAGUUUUAAUGAAGGCAACUUGACUUGGUUUUCUCUGUAGUUGUACUGUGGACGAUGCAGCUAUAUACCAGGCCUCAGCAUGCAACACUAAAGGCAUCGUGUCCUGCUCUGGGGUUCUGGAGGUGGGUGAAAUGAACGAGUUUAACAUCCACCAGCGCUACUUUGCCAAGCUCAAACAAAAGGCUGAGCACAGGCGCAGGGAAGCAGAAGGUAAAGAGAACCAGGAGCCGCUGCGAACCCUCAGUCCAGAGAGGACACAGAGGAAACGCCGCUCCACCAUGGAGGCCUUUCUCAGUACGCCCAGCUCCACAGAGGAUGAGGGCAGCGAGGAGAACCAUGUGCUUGUGGCUGUAGAGACUGAGACCAGGCUGCAGGAAGCUGCUGUGGGGGAAGCAGAAGAAAAACUAGUCCCAGUUACUAAUGGAGCAGUGUCUGCUGUAACUAAUGGACAAGUCAUAAAUGAGAAUGGAAACAUGGGUGGCACAUACAUACAGGACUCUGCACAGAGGAUUUUCAAUGGACACCAAGCCAAAACGCCCUUUGUCAAGAAGAAGAUUAAAAUUUCCAAGACACUGGGAGAGAGGACGCCUGAGGGGAAAAGGAAAAAAGAAGAGCCCUCACCCUCUGGAGCUGCUGGCUGCACAGAGUCAGUGCAGUCUAAGGCCAAGUCAGAAGAGGUCAUGGAAGUAGAGAGUGUUGUUAAUGCAUCGGUUGUAGAUUCGGACGCCGGAAAAAUUGCAAAACAUGACAAAUCAGCAAGAGAGGAAGCAAUGCUCGUGGCCAGGCCUUCUAAAGGCGUACAUGCUGCACCUUUACAGAAAGAGCAGCUCAUGGCUUCUCCUGUUCCUCCUACACGUACAAGUCGAACUGUGGCAGGAAGCGAAGGUAAACAAGCUGCAAGGCGUGAGAAGAAAGCUGCACGCAAAGAUACGGCAGAAACUUUGGAAAAUCAGAGGAAAAGUCCUCACAUCACCCUAAAACAGUCAUCUAUGGGGCUCCAUGCAUUAAAGAGGGCUGUUACUGAAACAGAAGACUUUUCAACACGUAUGGAUGUUGAUGAGAAACCAAACUCUUCCACCGGUGGCUCUCUAGGACACCCGGGGUCAGGGGGCUCAGCAUACGAAGGCAGGACCGCUUCACCUCAGCGUCCACUUGAGGAGGCUGAAGCUCAGCUGUCUGAGAGGGAAACAAGCCAAAAAAAUGUGGCUGUGUCUGGGCCAGCCCCUCCGGCCGAGUUUACACAGGCCCGUACAAAGAUGAACAGGAAUGAUGCACCUGUCAACCUUGAGCUUCCACCCGACCAGUGUGCAACAGACACUCAACCACCACAAAAGACUCCAAGAGGAAGAGCAGCCACAGCAGAUGACAUCCAGACCCCAUGUUUGCACAGUGGUCUUCAAGUGCCCAUUGACAUAAUGACACAGGACACAUGGGAUCAUUCCAGGGGAUCAAGUGAAAACCCUGCAAUCCUUUUUACAGACGUGCAGAAGUCACCCCUUGAAAGGCUUGGUGGUGGUGAGCACACCCGAGGGUGUAAUGUUUCGCCCAGCACCCUGCAGAGCCACGUUGAUACAGCUAUAAAAUCUGUUGAAGGGAUGGAAAUCCAAGUUGAUGAGAAGGUAGAAGUUAAUGAAGUAGGGAAGUUAUUAGUGCAGGAUGACAGCGAGGUGCCAAACCAGAAGACAGUUGAGAUGGAGACUGAAUCUGCUGCCCUGCAUGUGGUGGAACAAAAUAAAACAGGAAAGAAGAUGGAAAGAAGAGAUGCAGUGGAUAAAGGUGCUGACGUUGUCACUGCAGAUGAAUCUUUUAAAGAAACUGAGAAAAAUGACCUGACUUCAAAAAUGGCAGAGAUAAGUAAUUCAGAAUUAGAGAAUGUGAAGCCUGAUAAAUCAGAGACUGCUCUGCCUUUAACAAAUAACAUGGAAGACACAAACUCACCAGAGCAAAUUAUGGACUUCCAAGAAGUCCCAGAACCGGUUUCAAAAGUCCUAUCUAUUGCUGAGCUUUUGAGGUCACAAAUAAAGGCCCUGGACUCCACACCACCAAACUCAGUGCCAACCAUACCCAUCCAUGUUGACUUUGAACAGGAACCUGCUACAACAGCUGCAGAGACGUGUCAGGAAUUAAAAGAUGAUGAGAGGAAAUAUAAAGAGGAAGUGGAGAAGGACAGGAAAAUGGAGACAACUGUUAACAAUACUUCUGACACAAACAUAAAGGAAACUUAUCAUCAACUAAAUGAAAGUGAUCAGCACCAAAUUCAGAUUGAGGCUGAGACUUCAUCACAUGUUCAGGCUUUACCAAAACCAACUGCGAUGCCUCAUGUCUCUGUCACAGACACUGGCACCACUGUAGAGGUCACUGCCAGGAAAUAUGGUGAAGGCCAGAGAACUGAAGCGUCACUUCUGGCUCCGCUGAUAGAUGUUCCUGGAAGUUCACUCACUGACAGUGUCAAACACAAACCUGUGAGAUCUGGGAGUCCUACAAAGGUCAGAGGUCUGGAGUCAGAGACCACUGUUGUGGAGCACGCCAAAGAUGAACCUGUUCAAGGCAAAGACACAGAAGAGAUCCAAAAGUUAAUUUCAGAAAUAAAACUCAAUAGCAAAACUGAAAGGAGCAAUACUGAAAUUAAUUCCAUGACACUUUUAGAUCAAUGCAAAAGAGAAGAUCACAACACAAACACCAGCUCUUUGCAGAGCAUACAGAAGUUUCCCACUAAAAGUGUAUUUGAUACAGGUACACAAGAGUCUACUCUGCAGCAGGACAGCUCAGUGGUUGAGGAGUUGUCAAGGACUACCUCCAUAACUACUCCGACUCCUGAGGCGAGCCCGUUGCUCAGGAAAAGAAAUUGUGUCUCUCCUAUUCCCUCUGCUACUCCACAAGAGCUGGCCUCCGGGGCCCGCCGCAAAAUCCCAACAGCUAAAUCUAAAUCUGAGGAAGCCACAGAGGCCACAUCAGCAGCUGACAACCAAACCCAGAAAAAGGAAGCUUGCAUCCAAAGCAGCCACCUCUCCGCAGGUCCUGUGACGCCCUCCACGUCUCCAAGCCUGUCUCGACGGUCACUGCAGCUUCAGCCGCCCGGUGAGCGAACCUCUCCUGAAGAAAGACGUUCUCCGCUACUAAGCAGGAGGAAGACGACAGUAGAGACUCAAGCACCAAGCCAGCAGCCUUCUGAGGAGACUGAGGGCAGACCUGCUGAGAAGGGCAAGCAUAACCCAUUCAAAGGUACUAGAGCCCCACGGUUAUAA